UGACUGCAGAAAAGAAGGAAGCUACACAAAGCAAAAAUACUCCAGAGAGAUGAACAGAGAAGAAGGAAGAACAAAGUCAUGAUCCUUGUACAGAAGAGAAGAGGAAUUUCAAUAAGCCAAGUUUCACUUGAGCUUCUGUAAAAUUUGCAUAAUCACUUAGGACAGCAAUCUGGGGGAAGUAGGAGCAUCAGAACCAGAGAAGGCUGCAC